UACGUAGGUGGCAAGCGUUGUCCGGAUUUACUGGGCGUAAAGAGCGCGCAGGCGGUCGAUUUAGUCGCGUGUGAAAGCCCCCGGCUCAACUGGGGAGGGUCACGCGAUACUGAUCGACUCGAAGGCAGGAGAGGGUAGUGGAAUUCCCGGUGUAGUGGUGAAAUGCGUAGAUAUCGGGAGGAACACCAGUGGCGAAGGCGACUACCUGGACCAGUACCGACGUUCAGGCACGAAAGCGUGGGGAGCAAACAGG
rnacentral:rRNA from 1 species